CCUUGGUUGACCUUCGGAGGACCCCUAGUCCUUUCUCACUGCACUCUCUGGGUCCUGUGUCAGGCUGUGGUUAUUUGUGUCUUGAUCUGGUUGCCUCACUGGGUCAUGGAGUCCCGGAGGGCAGGGGUUGGGAGGAGGCCUUGGCAUCAUUGGCUGCAGAUUCCCGCCUGUUCUGCAGGGAGGUGCAGUGGCCCGACCACAUCUGGAGCAUUGUACUUCAUUCUGGGAGCCACAGUUGAGCGAGGACAUUGACAAAUGGGAUGGCAUUUGGAGGAGGGGACUGCGAUGCCCCAGGCUGACAGGCCCAUGUAAACGACAGUGAUGGAUGGCUGCAGGCUGGGUCCCUUAAUCUACCUCUCUGCCAUUGAUUAGUUUGGCUCGCAACGCACCCCGGGGUGGUGGACGUGACCUGUCUCCUAGAAUCGAGGACCUGAGCUGGGCCCUUGGACAUGGAGGAGACUCUGCGAGGAGAGCGGGGGAGAGCCGAGGGGAGCGAGCUGGCGA